UGGGACUCCACACCCGUUUGUUUGUAUCCACUGAGACUUAUGAGGUAUAUAUCAGUUUUACAUUAUUUACAUAUGUAAUUGCACUUUGAUAUAUACAUUGAUGUAUUAUGUGUGCCAACAUACUGAUCCAAGGAUGACACAGAUACACAGAGGCUUGACCGUUUGACGUCGGAUCGCUACAUAUAAACUAAACAUUCUUAUAUUACUUUACGGAGGGAGUACAUAUUACGUGUACAUACUCUCCGAUGCGAUAGAUACUACCUAGAACAUACCAAACAAAAGUAGGAGUAACUACACCCGGUCAUAGGAAAUAUUUGUCCUAUAUAUAUGGUAAUUAUAAAAUGGUGUAUAAAAUAUAGUAAUUAUAAAAUUAUUUUUUAUUAUACAAGUUAGUAAUUUACUACUUUUUAGAUAAAUUACUAUAUUUUCAAUACAUAACUAUAUUUUGUAUAGAGCACUAUUGAGGUGUAGAAUAAGCUAUUCUAUACUCUCUUUUUUUUUAGCCGAGACGGUAUUUUCAUUUAUAUAAAAGUAUAUUUUAAAAAAGAACAGUACAUAAGGAAAACUACCCAAUACCAGCUCUAGGUAUCAUUAGAUCAAAUUAUAGGUUCAGUUCAAUCCAAUUAUCAAUCUGUACUGCUUUGUGUUGCUUUGCUCUGGGCUUGACAUUCUGCAGCCCAUCCUUGAGAUAGUAUUUCCAUGAGAUUACAUGAGGUGGUGCCGAUCUGAAGAUUUUAUCAUUUCUGACCAUCCAAGUGCUCCAGCAGCCCAUAAUUAUGAUCUCCAUUGCAAUGUCUUUAGAUAGCUUGAUCGUGGUUAGAACAAUUUCAUCAAAUGCAGAAAUCCCUCUUUGCUUAGUAGGGAUUAGGUUUGUCCAAUAGCUGAGUGAGAAAGGGCAAUUCUAAAAGAGGUGAAUAAGAGUCUUCUCUGUGGAACGCGAGGACACCUUCCAUGCACUCUGCAGGUGUCCAAGAGCGCGAGCUCUCUGGAAAGCAAUGGCGGAAGACUGGUGCAUCCCGGACGUGGAUCUAUGGCAGAACACUGGUCCAGAAUGGCUCCUUCACCUACUGAACAAGUGCGAGGAGCACGUCCGGCUUCCCAUGCUCAUGACAAUGUGGAGGUGCUGGCACGUCAGAAACGAAAUCACGCACCACAAGCCGGCUCCCCCAAUUGAAGUAUCCAAGAGAUUUUUAUCAAGCUACAUCGACACUAUCUUGUGCCUCCAGCAACAUCCCAAGGCCGACAUGUCAAAGGGCAAGAUGGUAGUCUCCAAGUUUCAGCAACGCCAGGAGAAGCUCAGACCAGCAAGGGCGGCCAGUACCAGACCUCCAGAGCGAUGGCACAAGCCUCCACCAGGCUGGACUAAGUUAAACGUUGAUGGUGCAUAUAUUCAGGCGGAUGGAACAGGUGGCUCGGGCAUGAUCUUGCGCGACGAACAUGGCGUCGUCAUUUUUGCUUCUUGCAGAUUCUUGAGGACGUGUUCAAGUGCACUGGAGGCGGAGAUCGAAGCUAUACGUGAAGGGAUUGCAUUGACUCUGGAGUGGUGUACGCUACCUUUCAUACUUGAAUCUGACUGCUCCACGGCGAUUGAUAUGAUCAAAAGUUCAUAUAUGAACAGAUCUCCAGCGGCGAUGACAGUGGGUGUAAUAAAAAACUUGUUAGUGGAGGGAGGUAGAGAGCAUGUGUUAAUGCAUGUGAGUAGAAACCAAAAUAAUGUCAGCCAUGUUCUUGGGUAGAUGGGUCACGCUGGCCCUAGGACUGCCGUAUGGCUGAGGCAGGGGCCUGACGAGAUAGUUGAACUCGUGGCAAAGGACUGUAUUGUUCCUAAUUGAUUGAUUGAAAAUUUUUACCCCGCAAAAAAAAAAGAAUCAGCACAUAAAGCAUAAUUAUAAUUAGGUAAAAGCAUACUCCAGUGUUGUAGUAAAUUCCUUGUGCUAACUCUAUCAUGUAGUAGGAGCCAGAAGAUCUUGUGUCUGAGUCUGCUGGCAGCUUUCCAUAGAUGUUUAAAUAUGAUGUGAGCUUCAGUCUUUCCACAAAACUAUUCUGUACUCAUGCUUAGUUUAGCAUUACUAUAUAUAUAACAUUCUAUACUCAUGCUUAGUUUAGCAUUGCUAUAUAUAUAACGCUAAAUAAGAGUUUUGUUUAGUGUGAACUAGGGUCUACACGAAGAAACUUCUCAAGCAGAGAUUCUGUCAUUAGUGUAGCUGGUUUCUACAGUCGAAGCCCAAGCAGGAGUAACUGCCAUCGUAAAAGAAUCUCUUCUGCCCAAAGCAUCUGCAACUUUGUUUUCUUUUUUUUAUUCAAUCUUGUAAUUGAAUUAAAGCAAAUUUAUAUAUAUAACGCUGGAUAAGAGUUCUGUUUGGUGUGAACUAGGGUCUACACGAAGAAACUUCACACGUAGAAUGGUCGGCCAAGUUUUAUUUUCCAAAACUGCAGAAUAUUUAAAUUCAUUUAGCAUGCGACCUUUAUAUUUUCGCUGGCAAGCCCGAUAAAGCAAGACCAUUUUUGCAUUUGAGCAGCUUUCCAUCAGUGCCUCGCAUUGACCCAAAAAAUGAUGGAUGAGAAUUUAUUGACUGUUAUUUCAUUGUAGGACAGAGAUGGUAAACAAAAUGGGGUAGCGGUAUUGUAGAGUUGCAAAACUCCAUAAACUAAUCAGAAAUGGCGGCGAAGGUACACACACACUUAAUGGUGGUAAUACGGAGGUGGUUGGCCAGUUCCAGGGGCACCACUUGCCGGUCUCUGCUGAUUUCCAUGAUGAGCAGGUGGCAUCUGGUGUGAAGGAUGCAUCUCAUUUCCAUGAUGAGCAGGUGGCAUCUGGUGUGAAGGAUGCAUCUCAUUUCCAUGAUGAGCAGGUGGCAUCUGGUGUGAAGGAUGCAUCUCAUGAGGCGGCGGUGGCGGAGGGGCGGAGAAGCCCCCUGAUGUCGCCGUGUACUGCUGUGGUGGAGCUGAGUACAUAUGGCCUGGAUACUGGCCUGGAGCUGGUGGGUACCCUGAGUUGCCGGGAUUCCAAUUCGGCACUUGUCCGUUGGCGUUCUGGUUUUGAGCAGCGACA
rnacentral:lncRNA from 1 species